GGGCCCGCACAAGCGGUGGAGUAUGUGGUUUAAUUCGAUGCAACGCGAAGAACCUUACCAGGGUUUGACAUCCUGCGAAUCUCUUGGAAACGAGAGAGUGCCUUCGGGAGCGCAGUGACAGGUGGUGCAUGGCUGUCGUCAGCUCGUGUCGUGAGAUGUUGGGUUAAGUCCCGCAACGAGCGCAACCCACGUCUUUAGUUGCCAGCAUUCAGUUGGGCACUCUAGAGAGACCGCCCGGUGAUAAAACCCGGAGGAAGGGUUGGAUGACGUCAAGUCAUCAUGCCCCCUUACAUCCUGGGCUACACACGUACUACAAUGCUACGGACAAAGGGCAGCAAGUUCGCGAGGAC
rnacentral:rRNA from 1 species